GACGAACGCUGGCGGCGUGCUUAACACAUGCAAGUCGAACGGUGAAGGGACCAGCUUGCUGGUUCUGGCUGAGUGGCGAACGGGUGAGUAACACGUGAGUAACCUGCCCCCUUCUUCUGGAUAACCGCAUGAAAGUGUGGCUAAUACGGGAUAUUCUGGGUCUGUCGCAUGGCGGGCCCGGGAAAGAUAUUGCUUCGGUGGGGGAUGGGCUCGCGGCCUAUCAGCUUGUUGGUGGGGUGAUGGCCUACCAAGGCGGUGACGGGUAGCCGGCCUGAGAGGGUGGACGGUCACACUGGGACUGAGACACGGCCCAGACUCCUACGGGAGGCAGAAGUGGGGAAUAUUGCACAAUGGGCGCAAGCCUGAUGCAGCGACGCCGCGUGAGGGAUGGAGGCCUUCGGGUUGUAAACCUCUUUCGCCAGUGAAGCAGGCCUGCUCCUUGUGGGUGGGUUGACGGUAGCUGGAUAAGAAGCGCCGGCUAACUACGUG
rnacentral:rRNA from 1 species